AUUGAACGCUGGCGGCAGGCCUAACACAUGCAAGUCGAACGCGUCGCGGACGGGUGUGUAAUGUCUGGGAAACUGCCAGAUGGAGGGGGAUCACUUCUGGAAACGGUAGCUAAUACCGCAUACCCUCGGAUGUGCACAGAUGGGAUUAGCUUGUAGGUGGGGUAACGGCUCACCUGGGCGACGAGCCCUAGCUGGUCUGAGAGUAUGACCAGCAACACUGGAACUGAGACACGGUCCAGACUCCUACGGGAGGCAGCAGUGGGGAAUAUUGCACAAUGGGCGCAAGCCUGAUGCAGCCAUGCCGCGUGUAUGAAGAAGGCCUUCGGGUUGUAAAGUACUUUCAGUGGGGAGGCGUUACCGACAGAAGAAGCACCGGCUAACUCCGUGCCAGCAGCCGCGGUAAUAC
rnacentral:rRNA from 1 species